GCCUGGGUAGCUUAGUCGGUUAAGCACCCGACUUCAGCUCAGGUCAUGAUCUUGUGGUUCCUGGUUCAAGCCCUGCUUUGGGCU
rnacentral:tRNA from 1 species